AUUGAACGCUGGCGGCAGGCUUAACACAUGCAAGUCGAGCGGAGAUGAGGUGCUUGCACCUUAUCUUAGCGGCGGACGGGUGAGUAAUGCUUAGGAAUCUGCCUAUUAGUGGGGGACAACAUUCCGAAAGGAAUGCUAAUACCGCAUACGUCCUACGGGAGAAAGCAGGGGAUCUUCGGACCUUGCGCUAAUAGAUGAGCCUAAGUCGGAUUAGCUAGUUGGUGGGGUAAAGGCCUACCAAGGCGACGAUCUGUAGCGGGUCUGAGAGGAUGAUCAGCCACACUGGGGCUGAGACACGGCGCAGAGUCCUACGGGAGGCAGCAGUGGGGAAUAUUGGACAAUGGGGGGAACCCUGAUCCAGCCAUGCCGCGGGUGUGAAGAAGGCCUUAUGGUUGUAAAGCACUUUAAGCGAGGCGGAGGCUACUGAGACUAAUACUCUUGGAUAGUGGACGUUACUCGCAGAAUAAGCACCGGCUAACUCUGUGCCAGCCGCCGCGGUAA
rnacentral:rRNA from 1 species